CCCUUGCAUCAGUGUGGCCUGGAUGUAAGACAUGGAGUCAAAGGAGGUUAUUUUGGAGCUUUAAGAAUUAAUGACGAUUUUCUGCUGUGCCCGCCCACACAUGUAGUUUCCUCCGCACGUGCGUGCCUUCCCUCCUUCCGGCCUUCAGGGUCCAUGGCCACCAUGGCGUAUUAGGGGUAGCAGUGCCUGUGGCAGCAUUGGCCUUUGCAGUGGUGGCAGCAGCACCAGGCUCUGCAGUGGCACCCACCGGCGGCUUAAGCCAUGGCACUUCUCACAGCAUUCAGCAGCAGCAUUGCUGUAACUGACAAAGACACCUUCGAAUUAAGCACAUUCCUUGAUUCCAGCAAAGCACUGCACCAUGACCAAGAUGAGUUUCCUGAGCAGUGAGGUGUUGGUGGGGGCUUGAUGUCCCCCUUUGACCAGUCAGGUUUGGGGACUGAAGAAAGCCUAGGUCUCUUAGAUGACUACCUGGAGGUGGCCAGGCACUUCAAACCUCACGGGUUCUCCAGCGACAAGGCUAAGGCAGACUCCUCCGAAUGGCUGCCUGUGGAUGGGUUGGUCAGUGCCUCCGACAAUGGCAAGGAGGAUGCUUUCUUUGGGACAGAUUGGGUGUUGGAGAAAACGGAUCUGAAGGAGUUCGACUUUAAUGCCCUGUUGGGUAUAGAUGACCUGGAAACCAUGCCAGAUGAGCUUCUGGCCACGUUGGAUGACUCGUGUGAUCUCUUUGUCCCCCUAGUCCAGGAGACGAAUAAGGAGCCCCCUCAGACGGUGAGCCCGAUUUGCCAUCUCCCAGAAAGGUGAACAAAACCCAACCAGGUUGCCCCCUUCACCUUCUUGCAACCUCUUCCCCUUUCCCCAGAGGUCCUGUCCUCCACUCUAGAUUAUUCCUGUAGUCUAGAGCUGGGAAGUGAAGCAGAUAUCUCUGAAGGAGAUAGGAAGCCAGACUUCACUGCUUACAUUUCCAUGAUCCCUCAGUGCAUAAAGGAGGAAGUCACUCCCUCAGAUAAUGAUAGUGGCAUCUGUAUGAGCCCAGAGUCCUAUCUCAGCUCUCCCCAGCACAUCCCCUCUACCUCCAGGGGCUCUCCAAGUAGGAGCCUGCCAUCUCGAGGUGUCCUCUGUGGCUCUGCCUGUCCCAAACCUUAUGACCCUCCUGGGGAGAAGAUGGUAGCAGCACAAGUAAAGGGUGAGAAACUGGAUAAGAAGCUGAAAAAAUGGAGCAAAACCAGAACAGCAGGAACUAGGUAUCACCAGAAGAAGAGGGUGGAGUAGGAGGUCCUCGCUGGUGAGUGCAAAGCCCUGGAAAAGAAGAACGAGGCACUGAAAGAGAGGGCAGAUUCCCUGGCCAAGGAGAUCCAGUACAUGAAAGAUUCGAUAGAAGAGGUCUGCAAGGCAAGAGGGAAGAAAAGGGUCCUCUAGUUGAGGGUAGUCAGGAGCAUCAGUGUGCUUGUACACAGGAGUCUCACGCUGUAGCUGUGUGUUUGAAUAAAUUAUUUUGUAGUGGAAAAAAAAAAAAGAAUUAGUGGCUGUCCUGUUGGGUUUUGGACUUGCAUGGGGCCUGUAGCCCCUUUGUUUUGGCCGAUGUCCCCCUUUUGGAAAGGGAGUCUUUACCCAAUGCCUGUACCUCAAUUGUAUCUUGGAAGUAACUAACUUGUUUUUGAUUUUACAGGCUCAUGGGCAGAAGGGACUUGCCUUAUCUCAGAUGAGACUUUGGACUGUGGAGUUUCGAGUUAGUGCUGAAAUGGGUUAAGACUUGGGGGACUGUUGAGGAAGAGAUG